CCUGGCAGGUCACAGUCCAUGGGGUUGCAAAGAGUCGGAUGCAACGGCAACAACUAACACUUUCACCUCACUUUUGCUGGUUCUUCUGCUCUUUCCCUGAACCUCUGUCAGGCCAACCCCUUCAAAGCCUAGACCAGAAAGCAUGUUUCCUGAGCAAACACCCCUAGCUAUCCCUCAGGAGCCCUCCCAUAGCGCAUCCCACAGCUUGGGAUCUCCGCCCAGUCUGCCCUGUGAAUCCUGGCUGUACUGACAGAGGACUUCCUCUGACUUCCCCAACUGCCUGGAGAUGAGAAUGUUUUUGUCAUCCCCAGGACUCCUAUGAUGCUCAGGACAGUGCCUUGCAUACGGACGCUCUUCAAUUCAGAUUUGUUGAAGUGGGAGAAAAUGUUUCUUGAUACAGAGAGAGGAGGAAACCCACUCCAUAGAGCUUCUAACUAACUGUGGCUACAGGUAAGGAAGGAAUCACUGGCUGAGGCACCCAGAGAGGAACAACCAUCCAGCUCCUGCCAUCACCUUGGUCUACGUCCAGCACAGCUGGGUCUCCUGGGGGGCAGCAGGUCCUCCACCUGGCUGGAGAGGCCCGAGGGCUGAGUGGCUUUGGGAAGCGGCACAGUCCUAGAAAGUCAGCUCCUUCUUGGGAGAUGGGGCACUGGAACUGCAACCCUAGCCCACCCGCCAACUUGCCAUGUGACCCUAGGGAGGAGCCCCAUCCAGCAGACAGACACCACCCAUGGAGCCCUUUCUCUGGUUGGUUAUGGCUUGUCAGUCACAGGGGACCCCACCUCGAGCUUUUGCUGAGGAUCCAGGGCUCAGGGCACUCCAGAGCCAAUUGUUCCCAGUGUAUAGCCUGGCUCCCAACGUCAGUACCAGCCCUCGUGCACAGCAUUCAGAUGCUAACAGCAGCGGUGGGACUCAGUGACCCAGAAGGAAAAGCAGCCUUGCGCCCCCUAAUCCCCAGUCACCUGACUUGGGGCCUUUCUGCACACACAUUCCCCCACCCCUGUUCACUGUGCUUGUCUGUCACAGGCCUCUGAGGGGACUUGAAGGGUGGGCCUCUCAGAGCUGACAGCCACCGGGUUGCAAAAGAAACCAUCUUUCCUCUCUGUUGGCACAAGAAAGAAAGUCCUUAAACUGUGAUCACACUAGGCGACACUGUCUCCUCAGCGGGGGGAGAGCCCUGCACGGCGCCCUUUCAUUUGUGGCCGCAGCUGAUCCACCUUUUCAUCACACAGCCGACGCUCAGGCUGAACAGAAAGCAAGCAUCAAAGGCGCAGACCUCCUCGCCCCGCUCCAAAAUUCCGCAGCCUUUGUUGUCCCUGGAGCUGGGUGGUUAUUGAACUUUGCAGACCUGCUGGGCCUGGAAAGUGAAAACACCCUCCCAAGCCAGCAGGGGUGGUGCUCUGGGCCCAGGCGAUAGGCCGGCCUGUCGGGAGGCUGGGCGGUUGCCAUGGCGCCCUGACACCGAGAUCAUGCCUUAUGAAUGUCACCGAGGUCUGUGACUGAAGUUGUUUAUGAGUCAAAAGUCUCAUGAAGCUGCGGGAGGAAAUGAUGACCGCAGCUCGGAGGGCUGUGGGAAAGGAGGAUGCGGCGGGGCCGAUGCGCUUCCCCCCUCGGUUUGCUAAGGAAGACCGUCCUUAAAUACGACACGCAGAGAGAGACACACUGAACACAGGACAUGUCAUUCGUCACCGCACAUGAGCCAGCAAGGGAGAGGGGUCUGUUAAAUCGGAUACUGUAGUUCUAAAAGAUAUCAGUUCCGAGCUGUGGCUCACGAAACAGCACCAAGCCCUGUUCUGCAGGCCCCAGAAGGUGCUGCCCCUUCCUUUCAUCUGGUCCUCUCUCGUCCCUUCAGCCUGAAAUGUUUCCACUGUCUUAACUCCAAACCCUGAGGUCCCAGGUAAUCCAUAACGUCAUGAGCACCCCUUCUUUCCACCCAGGAAAGUUUUAAAUAGCAGCUAUGCUUGUUAUUUCUGAGAUACAGACAUUCUAAAAAGUCCCACCUGAAGCGCGAGAGGAUCACAGUGAGGAAAGAUAGUGAGAGGGCUGCUGGGGGGUAUGCCUAGGUUUACCUUCUAUUUCUGGCCUCUCUGUCACACUGAGGAGAGGGGCAUCUCUUCUGUUUGGAGGGUGAGGUUUAAGACAGCAAGCACACCCAGAGCUUUCUCCUUUCAACAUGGAGAAGAAAGGAAAGGAGGCGGUGGGCAGUGCACAGCUGGGCAAAGACAGGUGCAUCCCGAGGAAAGCAGCAGAAUCGACAGCAAGAGCAUCAGUGGCCCAGGGGACAGUGGGGAUGCUUUGGGAAAGUUAUUGUAUGUGCACACAAGUUAAUCCUUACGGCUGAAGUUCACAGGUGUGUAAGAAGUCCUUAAAUUCAUGUCACAAACUAUAAAAGUCUUGUUUUUUGAAAAGGA